UGAGGAAUAUUGGUCAAUGGGCGCGAGCCUGAACCAGCCAAGUCGCGUGAGGGAUGACGGUCCUACGGAUUGUAAACCUCUUUUGCCGGGGAGCAAGCGUGCGUUCGUGAACGCACGUCGAGAGUACCCGGAGAAAAGCAUCGGCUAACUCCGUGCC
rnacentral:rRNA from 1 species